CUUAGAAGAAUGGUAUUAGUUUUAUUUAUAUGUAAGUUUUUGCGUGAAUUGUACUUUAUUUUGAUAAUUGGGUUUAAUGUUUAUUCGCAGUAUAUUAAAUUAUAAAUUAAUGAGAGUUUGAUAUAGAUAAAUUUUUUUAGUAUUAACAAAGUUUGUGCCAGCAGUUGCGGUUAUACAAACAUUACAACUAAUCUUUUUCAUUUGAUAGUUAAUUGUUUAAUUUUUAUAUAUUGAUAGAUUUUUUAGGUGAAAUUAAAAAUUUAUUUUUAUUAUAAAUAUAUAUUUUGAAGCUAUGAAAUUUUUGUUUAGACUAGGAUUAGAUACCCUAUUAUUUUAAAUGUAAAUUAAUACUUUGAAUUAUUAGUAGGUAUGUUCUUGAAAAUUAAAGAUUUUGGCGGUAUUUUAGUCUUUUCAGAGGAACCUGUCCUGUAAUCGAUAAUCCACGAUAAGUUAUACUUGUAUUAAUUAAUUUGUAUAUCGUCGUAGUUGAAUAUUUUAUUAGAAUUACAAUAUUCAUGGUUUAUAAUUUUAAAUUAAAUCAGAUCAAGGUGCAGUUUAUAUAUAAGGAGAGAUGGGUUACAAUAAGUAUACUUAAAUGGAUUUAUUAGUUAAAGUUUUAAUGAAGGUGGAUUUGAAAGUAAUAAUUUUUAUUUGUUAAUUAUGAUUUAAGCUCUAAAAUAUGCACAUAUUGCCCGUCGCUUUCAAUAUUUUUGGAAUAAGUCGUAACAUAGUAGGGGUACUGGAAAGUGUCUCUAGUUAUCA
rnacentral:ncRNA from 1 species